GUGCGGGUCCUGUGCAACAAAGCACCGUGAACCAUGUCAGGCGGGGGACCGAGCAGCAUUAAGCGGAUGUGUUUGUGUGCCGCAGCAAACCUGCACACC
rnacentral:SRP_RNA from 3 species